rnacentral:rRNA from 1 species
CGUGUAGGUGGAACUUUAAGUCGGUGGUGAAAUCCUGCAGCUUAACUGCAGAAUGGCCCUCGAUACUGAAGUUCUUGAGUGCGGGCAGAGGGAGAUGGAAUUCAUGGUGUAGCGGUGAAAUGUGUAGAUAUCAUGAAGAACACCGGUAGCGAAGGCGGUCUCCUGGUCCGUAACUGACACUGAGGCGCGAAAGCGUGGGGAGCAAACAGGAUUAGAUACCCUGGUAGUCCACGCCUUAAACGAUGGGUACUCGGUGCUGGGCCGCAAGGUUCAGUGCCAAAGCUAACGCAUUAAGUACCCCACCUGGGGAGUACGAUCGCAAGGUUGAA